UAUAAAUGGUGUGCGCGGGUGUAUGGAAGACAUCGUUUCGUCUCAGCUUCAGUCGAUACUACCUUCAACUUCAACAUGAAAGCCGCUGCAGUUCUUGCUUUCCUGGCCGUUUUGGCAAUGGAAUUGCUCCUAGCAAGUGCCGGAAGAGGUUCGUCGAGAAUCGCUGCCGUCGCUGGCCGCACCUCAUAAUGGUGGUUAUUUGAACACCUUUAAUAUGCAGACGUCACAAAUAUCUCCUCAAGAUUUUGAAAAACGAAAAUUGUUGUUCUAAAUUAAUUAUGUCUGACGUUGAAUAUAUUGAAUAAAAAUAUUUAUUGCCUGUA